rnacentral:lncRNA from 1 species
GAGGGGUCCGUGGGGGCCGCGAAGGGCAGCGGUGCUCGGAGACUGGGCAGCGGUGCGGUCGGGUGAGGCCAGGUCAGUCCAGCAACAGCACUGCGCUUGGCCCCAGCCCAUCACAGCCCGAUCGUGCAGCUGGGGGUGAUGGCACGCGGCGAUGGCGCGCAGCGAUGGCACACGGCGAUGGCACGGCGCUGCUCAUCAGGAGGCGACAGGAGCGGCGAGGGCGCAGAAACGCAGAGCCACGCUGGGGCACCUCGGGGUCAUCGCCGCCCUUCCUCAGGCUGCGUCCCCUGCUGCAGUUCCGCCUGGAAGAAAGAAAGAGCUCGCGAGACCUGAGCGUGCAGGAGCCCUUCUCCGAGGUGUUUCCGAAGGCUGGAAGGAGGUGCUGCCUGUACACGCGGCCUGCCGGUACCGCCCGGUACAGAGCGCAGAAAAACCCUGUGAAGCACUUGAACAUGAAUGGCUUAUGUGAAACUACGAUCGUUCCUUCUCAAGUCAGUCACCGUUCUCACGCUGGGGCUGCUUCCCCCGUUAAGCUCCAGCUGCACAACCCCCGCGCCGCCCCAGACCGACGGCUCCGCUCAGCGCGCUCCCCCUGCCCGGCCGGGGCCGGUGCCAGCGCCGCACCACGGUUCAUCCCAGCUGUAAUUUCACCUCGGUGAAGGAACCUUACUGCACAGACCCUUAUAGGGACAAGAAAUACGUCUAAUUACCAUAUCCUUAGAAUAGACGUAAUAUAAAUUUCAUUACUCACUUAAAAGUUCUAAAGUUAACAGCAUAAACUUGAAGUUGAGUAAUUAAGUAAUCCUUAUAUAGACACUUAUUAAAGUAUUUAUACAUAUUAUCUUAAAUCUACAUCUAUCAUUUUGCCAAUUAAAAUUAGGACUUUAAUUGCAAUUAAGUAAUUUAAUUGCCAAUUGAACAGCAAAAUUGCUAAGUGACUAAUUUUAAUGCCUAUUUUAAUUACCAAUCAUGACUGGGGAGGGAGCUAAUCAAGCGGUAUCAGAGUAAUGAUGUGAAAAAAAACGGAGAACAAACAUUCAAGACUACAUGCUUUUAAAAAAGAACUCUAAAUUAAAUAAAUGCAAACACAAUUUUAUACA